rnacentral:lncRNA from 1 species
AUUCAUGUGAUUGACCUCUAUAACUUCAACAACAAAACACAUAAGCAUCAAACACUCAAGAAUCACAACAUCAACAACAACAACAUGAUAUCAAAACAUAUCAUGGAUGAGAAGUAUGAACACAACAAGUUCAUCACAAAUUCACACAAAUCCUAUUCCCCCAAACAUAGGUUAUUUUCCCCCAAAUGCUAAAUCUAUCUAAGAACACACCUCAUGAUUCAUAAAGAUGGUGAGAAGAAGAUGAUGAAGAAGAUGACAUGAUGAUGGUGGUUAAUGUUUCCAUGGCUUUCUCUUU